GACGAACGCUGGCGGCGUGCCUAACACAUGCAAGUCGAGCGGAGAUGUGGAGUAGUUUACUACAAAGCAUCUUAGCGGCGGACGGGUGAGUAACGCGUGGGCAACCUGCCUUACAGAGGGGGAUAACAGUGCGAAAGCACUGCUAAUACCGCAUGAUAUUGUACUGCCACAUGGCAGAACAAUCAAAGGAGAAAUCCGCUGUAAGAUGGGCCCGCGUCUGAUUAGCUAGUUGGUGAGGUAAAAGCUCACCAAGGCGACGAUCAGUAGCCGAUCUGAGAGGAUGAACGGCCACACUGGAACUGAGACACGGUCCAGACUCCUACGGGAGGCAGCAGUGGGGAAUAUUGCACAAUGGGCGAAAGCCUGAUGCAGCAACGCCGCGUGGAGGAUGAAGGUUUUCGGAUUGUAAACUCCUUUGAUCGGGGAUGAAAAAAAUGACAGUACCCGAAAAACAAGCCACGGCUAACUACGUGCCAGCAGCCGCGGUAAAAC
rnacentral:rRNA from 1 species